rnacentral:rRNA from 1 species
CGCAAGCCUGACGGAGCAACGCCGCGUGUGGGAAGAAGGCUCUUGGGCUGUCAACCACUUUUCUCAGGGAAGAAGCGCUGACGGUACCUGAGGAAUCAGCCUCGGCUAACUCCGUGCCAGCAGCCGCGGUAAUACGGAGGAGGCAAGCGUUAUCCGGAAUUAUUGGGCGUAAAGCGUCCGCAGGGGGCACAUCAAGUCUGCUGUUAAAGGCUGGAGCUUAACUCCGGUAGAGCAGUGGAAACUGGUGUGCUAGAGGGCGACAGGGGUAGAGGGAAUUCCCAGUGUAGCGGUGAAAUGCGUAGAGAUUGGGAAGAACACCGGUGGCGAAAGCGCUCUACUGGGUCGCACCUGACCCUCAGGGACGAAAGCUAAGGUAGCG